rnacentral:rRNA from 1 species
CCUACGGGAGGCUGCAGUAGGGAAUCUUCCACAAUGGGCGAAAGCCUGAUGGAGCAACGCCGCGUGGGUGAAGAAGGUCUUCGGAUCGUAAAACCCUGUUGUUAGAGAAGAAAGUGCGUGCGAGUAACUGUUCACGUUUCGACGGUAUCUACCCAGAAAGCCACGGCUAACUACGUGCCAGCAGCCGCGGUAAUACGUAGGUGGCAAGCGUUUUCCGGAUUUAUUGGGCGUAAAGGGAACGCAGGCGGUCUUUUAAGUCUGAUGUGAAAGCCUUCGGCUUAACCGGAGUAGUGCAUUGGAAACUGGGAGACUUGAGUGCAGAAGAGGAGAGUGGAACUCCAUGUGUAGCGGUGAAAUGCGUAGAUAUAUGGAAGAACACCAGUGGCGAAAGCGGCUCUCUGGGCUGUAACUGACGCUGAGGUUCGAAAGCGUGGGUAGCAAACAGGAUUAGAUACCCGAGUAGUC